rnacentral:rRNA from 1 species
AGACGUCUACAUUAGACUACCCCGUAGUCCCAGCCGUAAACUAUGCGCGUUAGGUGUAUCGGUGACCACGAGUCACCGAGGUGCCGAAGGGAACCGUGAAACGUGCCGCCUGGGAAGUACGGUCGCAAGGCUAGAAACUUAAAGGAAUUGGCGGGGAGCACCACAACGGGUGGAGCCUGCGGUUUAAUUGGACUCAACGCCGGGAAGCUCACCGGAUAAGACAGCGGAAUGAUUGCCGGGCUGAAGACUCUGCAUGACUAGCUG